CUGUGAAUAUUCUUGCUGUCCCAAUUUUGUGAUAAUCAGGGCAGGCCAAACAUCCACAUAUUAAGGUCAUUCAAGUGUCUCCAGACCUUGUACUUUCCUUAGGUCUGGUUUUUAAGAUGCUAGUGAUAUAG
ensembl:snoRNA SNORA72 Small nucleolar RNA SNORA72